rnacentral:rRNA from 1 species
AUUGAACGCUGGCGGCAUGCCUUACACAUGCAAGUCGAACGGCAGCACGGACUUCGGUCUGGUGGCGAGUGGCGAACGGGUGAGUAAUGCAUCGGAACGUGCCAUUGAGUGGGGGAUAACGUAGCGAAAGUUGCGCUAAUACCGCAUAUUCUGUGAGCAGGAAAGCAGGGGACCGCAAGGCCUUGCGCUCUUUGAGCGGCCGAUGUCAGAUUAGCUAGUUGGUGAGGUAAAGGCUUACCAAGGCGACGAUCUGUAGCGGGUCUGAGAGGAUGAUCCGCCACACUGGAACUGAGACACGGUCCAGACUCCUACGGGAGGCAGCAGUGGGGAAUUUUGGACAAUGGGGGCAACCCUGAUCCAGCCAUGCCGCGUGAGUGAAGAAGGCCUCGGUUGUAAGCUCUUCGGUCCGGGUAAGGAAAGUACGCGAUGGGCCAAGUACCCUCGUGUGGAUGACGGUACCGGAAGUAAGAAG